AACGAACGCUGGCGGCAUGCCUAACACAUGCAAGUCGAACGAAGCCUUCGGGCUUAGUGGCGCACGGGUGCGUAACGCGUGGGAAUCUGCCCUUGGGUUCGGAAUAACAGUUAGAAAUGACUGCUAAUACCGAAUGAUGUCUUCGGACCAAAGAUUUAUCGCCCAAGGAUGAGCCCGCGUCGGAUUAGCUAGUUGGUGAGGUAAAGGACUCACCAAGGCGACGAUCCGUAGCUGGUCUGAGAGGAUGAUCAGCCACACUGGGACUGAGACACGGCCCAGACUCCUACGGGAGGCAGCAGUGGGGAAUAUUGGACAAUGGGCGAAAGCCUGAUCCAGCAAUGCCGCGUGAGUGAUGAAGGCCUUAGGGUUGUAAAGCUCUUUUACCCGGGAUGAUAAUGACAGUACCGGGAGAAUAAGCCCCCGGCUAACUCCGUGCCAGCAGCCGCGGU
rnacentral:rRNA from 1 species